GACGAACGCUGGCGGCGUGCUUAACACAUGCAAGUCGAACGAUGAAGGAGGAGCUUGCUCCUCUGGAUUAGUGGCGAACGGGUGAGUAACACGUGAGCAAUCUGCCCUUGACUCUGGGAUAAGCGCUGGAAACGGCGUCUAAUACCGGAUACGACCCUCGGAGGCAUCUCCUGUGGGUGGAAAGAACUUCGGUCAAGGAUGAGCUCGCGGCCUAUCAGCUUGUUGGUGAGGUAAUGGCUCACCAAGGCGACGACGGGUGGCCGGCCUGAGAGGGUGACCGGCCACACUGGGACUGAGACACGGCCCAGACUCCUACGGGAGGCAGCAGUGGGGAAUAUUGCACAAUGGGCGCAAGCCUGAUGCAGCAACGCCGCGUGAGGGACGACGGCCUUCGGGUUGUAAACCUCUUUUAGCAGGGAAGAAGCGAGAGUGACGGUACCUGCAGAAAAAGCACCGGCUAACUACGUGCCAGCCGCCGCCGUAACAC
rnacentral:rRNA from 1 species